UAACAAAAUAGCAGAAGUAUUGCGUCUUUCUCAGCCUUAUAUUACCCGGGAGGAUGUUAAAAGGAAAAUAAAUAUCGUACGCACAACAUACAACCGGGAGAGCAAUAAAAUAAGAAAAUCGAAGCAAUCUGCGUCUUCUCCGGGAGAAAUAUAUGUCCCCAAGUUGUGGUACUUUAAUGAACUUUCAUUUUUAGAUAACCAGCUAGAAGAGGAAGCCGCAAUUGGUGCAAUCGAAAAUCAGCAAAAUAACUACUCACUGUCAACAUUGGCAUGUACAGUUUGUGGUGGGUUGAAAAGAUGUGCGUGACGAACAGUGUAUGAGAAGGCCCACAUGUGAUGAUGCCAUUUAUUGCAUUUCCCAAUACUGAGCAAGAAAACUGUCACAUUACCGUUGACAACAUCCUAAUGCAGCUAACUCGUGGGGCUGCAAUUGGACACUCAACCAUCGCAAAAAUUCAAAUAGACCCUCUUCACUACUGUAAAGUCUGUGAAAGAUGGAUGCCACAUUUUCUGAGCGAUGUCAACAACAAGCAAUAGAUGGAUUCAGCCGGAAUGUUGCCGGAAAUGCAUCAGAGUGGCUUGUCACUUGAGAUGAGACAUUGGUCCAUAAUUCGACAAAACAUCAAGGCAUGGUGUGAAAGAAACCUCACUAAUGUACCCACAAAAAUGGCAAAUGUCACCCAUUCAACAGUGAAAGUUACAGCAGUCAUCUUUUGGAAUCGUCAGAGACAUUCUCAACUUUUGUCUUGCAAAAUUAUUCUCUUCUUUCAUGACAAUGUUUAGCCUCUUACAGCUCGAAUGACCUGGGCGAGGUCGGAAAAUGCAACUGGGAAGUGUUCCUGCAUCCUCCAUAUUCACCAGAUCUUUGCCCACAUGAUAUUCACGUAUUCUCCCAACUCAAAGAUCAUCUUGGAGGUAAGCAUUUCAAUACUGAUUAUGAAGUCAUAUCAACAGUGAGCACCUGGUUAAGAGCACAAAAUCCAACCUGGCACAAAACUGGUUUGGGAAAACUUGUCACAUUAUCAGACAUGCUUGGAAAAAUGUGACAACUAUAUAGAAAAAUAAUUGAAGCAUUCCCCAAUGUCAGUAAAAUUAUUUUAACAUGAUAAAGUAUGUGUUAUUGUUAUUAUUAUUAUAAAAUAGGGAAACUUACAUAAUGGACGCCCCUCAUAUUUAACCUUUGCACCUUUUCAUGACUCAUCAAACUGGUGCAUUAGUUCUUUCAAAGCCACAGUGAGAAAUUGGAGACAUUAGCAUCCAUUUUUUGUUUUGCUAUGUUCCAAAUGAUGUUGAUUGUAAUAGAAAGUUAUACAAGGUGAAUCAUAAAUAUUUCUAGUUUUCUGAAAUAAUA